AUGGGCUCCAGGCUCCUCUGCUGGGUGGCUCUUUGCCUCCUGGGAGCAGGCCAGGUGGAUUCUGAAGUCACUCAGACCCCAAAAUACCUGAUCAAACCAAGAAAACAGCAAGUGACACUGAGAUGUUCCCCUGUCUCUGGACACCUCUCCGUGUACUGGUACCAACAGGCCCUGGGCCAGGGCCCCCAGUUCCUCAUUCAGUAUUACAGACAGAAAGAGACAGAAAGAGGAAACAUUUCACGUCGAUUCUCAGGUCAACAGUUCGAUAACUCUAGCUCUGAGCUGAAUGUGAGCUCCUUGGAGCUGACGGACUCGGCCCUGUAUCUCUGCGCCAGCAGCCGUGACACAGCCCUGCGUGAACGACGGCCUCUUGUACAAAAACAUCCCACCCCAGCUCAGGAAGUGGCCGCGAAGGCGCUGGCUGCCCGCCAGCCGGGCCCAGGCCUUGGUAAAGCAGACAGCCUUUACUGA